CCGAGGUGCCUGCCCCCCGUGGGUAGAAUCUCCAACCCGUGCUGAUACUGCCUGUUGUUGCUUUGGUGGGUGCCGUCGGGCGCCGUCGGGCGCCCUUCCACCCACCAGAGGUCCAUCAUAACGCUGUCGUAUACGUGACGUCUGAGUUCAAAUUUAAAUUUGUCA
rnacentral:misc_RNA from 1 species